AACUUUUGGCAACGAAUCACUUGGCUCUCACAUCGAUGAAGAACGCAGCGAAAUGUGAUAAGUAAUGUGAAUUGCAGAAUUCAGUGAAUCAUCGAAUCUUUGAACGCAUCUUGCGCUCCUUGGUAUUCCGAGGAGCAUGUCUGUUCGAGUGUUAUGAAAAUUUCAACGCCACCCUUUCUUUGUAAAGGAAUGGUGUUUGGUUCGUGGGCGUUCGUGCCGGGAUGGUUUUUGAACCCCGCUCGGCUCGCCUGAAAUGCAUCAGCAGUUUCGUCUUUAGAAACUUGGCUUGACUUGGCGUAAUAAAUAUUUCGCUGAGGACAACCGUUUCUCGCGGUUGGCCGGUUCCUUUAGAAGAGGGCUUCUAAUGAAAUAACCUUUUCAAACUCUUUGACCUCGAAUCAGAUAGGACUACCCGCUGAACUUAAGCAUAUCAAUAAGCGGAGGCU
rnacentral:misc_RNA from 1 species